rnacentral:rRNA from 1 species
CCUACGGGAGGCAGCAGUGAGGAAUAUUGGUCAAUGGACGAGAGUCUGAACCAGCCAAGUAGCGUGAAGGAUGACUGCCCUAUGGAUUGUAAACUUCUUUUAUAUGGGAAUAAAACGUUCCACGUGUGGGAUUUUGUAUGUACCAUAUGAAUAAGGAUCGGCUAACUCCGUGCCAGCAGCCGCGGUAAUACGGAGGAUCCGAGCGUUAUCCGGAUUUAUUGGGUUUAAAGGGAGCGUAGGUGGAUUGUUAAGUCAGUUGUGAAAGUUUGCGGCUCAACCGUAAAAUUGCAGUUGAAACUGGCAGUCUUGAGUACAGUAGAGGUGGGCGGAAUUCGUGGUGUAGCGGUGAAAUGCUUAGAUAUCACGAAGAACUCCGAUUGCGAAGGCAGUUCACUGGACUGCAACUGACACUGAGGCUCGAAAGUGUGGGUAUCAAACAGGAUUAGAUACCCUUGUAGUC